rnacentral:rRNA from 1 species
UCCUGGCUCAGAUUGAACGCUGGCGGCAGGCUUAACACAUGCAAGUCGAGCGGAAACGAUGGUAGCUUGCUACCAGGCGUCGAGCGGCGGACGGGUGAGUAACACUUAGGAAUCUACCUAGUAGUGGGGGAUAGCUCGGGGAAACUCGAAUUAAUACCGCAUACGACCUACGGGAGAAAGGGGGCAGUUUACUGCUCUCGCUAUUAGAUGAGCCUAAGUCGGAUUAGCUAGAUGGUGGGGUAAAGGCCUACCAUGGCGACGAUCUGUAGCUGGUCUGAGAGGAUGAUCAGCCACACCGGGACUGAGACACGGCCCGGACUCCUAUGGGAGGCAGCAGUGGGGAAUAUUGGACAAUGGGCGAAAGCCUGAUCCAGCCAUGCCGCGUGUGUGAAGAAGGCCUUUUGGUUGUAAAGCACUUUAAGCAGUGAAGAAGACUCCAUGGUUAAUACCCAUGGACGAUGACAUUAGCUGCAGAAUAAGCACCGGCUAACUCUGUGCCAGCAGCCGCGGUAAUACAGAGGGUGCAAGCGUUAAUCGGAAUUACUGGGCGUAAAGCGAGCGUA